UCAGAAAAGGAAAUCAACACAGCAAAGCAAUAUGAAUCGGUAUCAACAUGAGAACUGAAGCUGUUAGAAGAGACAAAAAUAACAAAUCCCUACAUAAAGUAUGAGAACACCUACAAUUCUGUCUUGCAUAAUCUUCUUCAAUAUCUUUUUCUUGGUUUGCCAAAAUAAAUAACAAUAAUAAGCACCGCCGUCAUAUUUCAGAGAGUUAGUAGACAUACUGAUGUAAAAGCUAUUC